rnacentral:misc_RNA from 1 species
CGAAAUGCGAUACGUAAUGUGAAUUGCAGAAUUCAGUGAAUCAUCGAAUCUUUGAACGCAUAUUGCGCUCUUUGGUAUUCCGAAGAGCAUGCUUGUUUGAGUAUCAGUAAACACCUCAACCCUACUUACCUUUCUUGGGCUAGUCGGGCUGGAUUUGAGCAAACCCAACAAAAAGUCUUUUUUGGCGGGUUGCUUGAAAUGCAGGUGCAGCUGUAACAAGAUCAGACUGAGCUAAAAGCAUAUCCAUUUAGUCCGCACUUGUUGUGGAUUAUCUAUUUGCUGCAGCUACUUUAAGGUCGUCUUGUAUGAGCUGACUGAUGCAGGAUUUGUUGCUCCUCUCUGAGGACUUCAAAACUCGAUCUCAAAUCAAGUAAGACUACCCGCUGAACUUAAGC